GAUGAACGCUAGCGGUGUGCUUAAUGCAUGCAAGUCGAACGUGAAGCAUUUCAUUGACACUUCGGUUGAUUUGGGAUGUGGAAAGUGGCGAACGGGUGAGUAACACGUUGGUAUCUGCCCUGAAGAAGGGGACAACCAUUGGAAACGAUGGCUAAUACCCUAUAUCUCGCAAGAGGAAAGCUCCGGCGCUUCAGGAGGAGCCUGCGUCCCAUCAGCUAGUUGGUAAGGUAAAAGCUUACCAAGGCGAAGACGGGUAGGGGACGUGAGAGCGUGAUCCCCCACAAUGGUACUGACACACGGACCAUAUACCUACGGGUAGCAGCAGCAAGGAAUAUUGCGCAAUGGGGGCAACCCUGACGCAGCAACACCGCGUGGAGGACGAAGGCCCUAGGGUUGUAAACUCCUUUUAUGAGGGAAUAGAAAGGAAGGUACCUCAUGAAUAAGCUCCGGCUAACUACG
rnacentral:rRNA from 1 species